rfam:Toxocara canis scaffold590, whole genome shotgun sequence.
GCGGCAGUAGCUCAGUUGUAAAGCCCCCGCUUAGCAUGCGGGGAGACCUGGGUUCGAUUCCCGGGUGCUUCC